rnacentral:misc_RNA from 1 species
GAUGAAGAACGUAGCGAAAUGCGAUAAGUAAUGCGAAUUGCAGAAUUCAGUGAAUCAUCGAAUCUUUGAACGCACAUUGCGCCCGCCAGUAUUCUGGCGGGCAUGCCUGUCUGAGCGUCGUUUCGACCCUCGCGCCCGGCUUCUGUCGGGGGCGGUGUUGGGGAUCGGCCACACCCUUCAGUGGGAGGCCGGCCCCUAAAUUCAGUGGCGACCACGCUGUAGCCUCCCCUGCGUAGUACUAAAACCACCUCGCAGGCGGAGAGCGGUGCGGCCCGCCGUAAAACCCCCCAACUUUUACAAGGUCGACCUCAGGUCAGGCGGGGCUACCCGCUGAGUUUAAGCAUAUCAAUAAGCGGAGGA